rnacentral:rRNA from 1 species
UACAGAGGGGGCAAGCGUUGUUCGGAAUUACUGGGCGUAAAGGGCGCGUAGGCGGUCUUUUAAGUUCGGUGUGAAAUCCCUCGGCUCAACCGGGCGAGGCCAUUGGAAACUGACAGGCUGGAGGGCAGUAGAGGUAGGCGGAAUUCCGGGUGGAGUGGUGAAAUGCGUAGAGAUCCGGAGGAACCCCUGAGGCGAAGGCGGCGUCCUGGCGCACUUCUGACGUUCAGACACGACAGCAUGGGGAGCGAACGGG